rnacentral:tRNA from 1 species
GUUAAAGUGGCAGAUAAAUGUGUUAAAUUUAGGAUUUAAAAAUAAGGAAAUUCCUUCUUUAAUA